rnacentral:rRNA from 1 species
UACGGGGGGGGCAAGCGUUGUUCGGAAUUACUGGGCGUAAAGGGCUCGUAGGUGGCCAACUAAGUCAGACGUGAAAUCCCUCGGCUUAACCGGGGAACUGCGUCUGAUACUGGAUGGCUUGAGAUUGGGAGAGGGAUGCGGAAUUCCAGGUGUAGCGGUGAAAUGCGUAGAUAUCUGGAGGAACACCGGUGGCGAAGGCGGCAUCCUGGACCAUUACUGACGCUGAGGAGCGAAAGCGUGGGGAGCGAACAGG